CCUACGGGGGGCAGCAGUGGGGAAUAUUGGACAAUAGGGGCAACCCUGAUCCAGCCAUGCCGCGUGUGUGAAGAAGGCCCUCGGGUUGUAAAGCACUUUCAGUGAGGAAGAACGCCUGGUGGUUAAUACCCAUCAGGAAAGACAUCACUCACAGAAGAAGCACCGGCUAACUCCGUGCCAGCAGCCGCGGUAAUACGGAGGGUGCGAGCGUUAAUCGGAAUUACUGGGCGUAAAGCGCGCGUAGGUGGCUUGAUAAGCCGGUUGUGAAAGCCCCGGGCUCAACCUGGGAACGGCAUCCGGAACUGUCAAGCUAGAGUGCAGGAGAGGAAGGUAGAAUUCCCGGUGUAGCGGUGAAAUGCGUAGAGAUCGGGAGGAAUACCAGUGGCGAAGGCGGCCUUCUGGACUGACACUGACACUGAGGUGCGAAAGCGUGGGUAGCAAACAGGAUUAGAUACCCCAGUAGUC
rnacentral:rRNA from 1 species